rnacentral:rRNA from 1 species
UACGUAGGGACCAAGCGUUGUUCGGAAUCACUGGGCGUAAAGGGCGCGUAGGCGGCUCGAUAAGCGUGUGGUGAAAGCCUGGGGCUCAACCCCGGGUCGGCCAUGCGAACUGUCGAGCUGGAGCACUGUAGAGGCAGGCGGAAUUCCGGGUGUAGCGGUGGAAUGCGUAGAGAUCCGGAAGAACACCGGUGGCGAAGGCGGCCUGCUGGGCAGUAGCUGACGCUGAGGCGCGACAGCGUGGGGAGCAAACAGG